GGUUUCUUGAUUAGUUAGGAAAUUUGACCUGCCCACUGAGAAGAAGAUUUGAAGGGCCGCAGUAUCUUGACUGUGCAAAGGUAGCAUAAUCAUUAGUCUUUUAAUUGAAGGCUGGUAUGAAUGGUUGGACGAAGUAAAAGCUGUCUUAUAAUGGUUAAAUUGAAAUUAGGCUUUGAGUUAAAAUACUUAAGUGUUAUUAGGGGACGAGAAGACCCUAUAGAGUUUAAUAAUUUACUGAAUUGACUGAGUUAAAUAAAAUUUUUUGGUUUAUUGAGGAAAUUUAUUUGGUUGGGGUGAUCUAAAGAUAUAAAGAACUCUUUAUAAAAAUUAAUAUUAUUUUUAGUAGUGUGAUCCAUAUUAAUUGUGAUUAUAAGAUUAAAUUACCUUAGGGAUAACAGCAUAAUUUUUUUUAAGAGUUCAUAUCGAAAAAGAAGAUUGUGACCUCGAUGUUGGAUUAAGAUAAAAUUUGGGUGUAGAUGUUCAUUUAUUAGGUCUGUUCGACCUUUAAUUUCUUACA
rnacentral:rRNA from 1 species